UACGUAGGGGGCAAGCGUUGUCCGGAAUUAUUGGGCGUAAAGAGCUCGUAGGCGGCCUGUUACGUCUGCUGUGAAAUCCCGGGGCUUAACCCCGGGCGUGCAGUGGAUACGGGCAGGCUGGAGGCAGGCAGGGGAGAACGGAAUUCCCGGUGUAGCGGUGAAAUGCGCAGAUAUCGGGAGGAACACCGGUGGCGAAGGCGGUUCUCUGGGCCUGUACUGACGCUGAGGAGCGAAAGCGUGGGGAGCGAACAGG
rnacentral:rRNA from 1 species